rnacentral:rRNA from 1 species
UCUUAUUGGGCCUAAAGCGUCCGUAGCCGGCCGGGCAAGUCCGUUGGGAAAUCUGUUCGCUUAACGAACAGGCGUCCAGCGGAAACUGCUCGGCUUGGGACCGAAAGACCUGAGGGGUACGUCCGGGGUAGGAGUGAAAUCCUGUAAUCCUGGACGGACCACCGAUGGGGAAACCACCUCAGGAGGACGGAUCCGACGGUGAGGGACGAAAGCUAGGGUCUCGAACCGGAUUAGAAACCCCAGUAGUCC